CCAGAAGCUCCGCCCGCUCCGGAAGUCGUUAGCGCGGCAGUCUCCCUCCCCACCUGACCCAGCAGCGCCUUUAACUAGCAAUUCCUCUUGCACGGGGCUUUGGAGGCUAGCAAACUCCCACUUUUCCACAACCAGGUGGGUCCACAUUCUCUGAUCUGCAGCUACCCGUAGGCGUCCUUCCUAAAACUCCCCUUCUUCAAAGUCAUUGCUUCCUGCCCUUUGUGGAAACCACACCCUGUGCGCUUUGAAAAGAACAAACGACUGUGGAGCUGCUCGAGGACUCCUGAGAAGAGUCACUUUGUUGCUGCGCAGCCUUGUCCAACUCCCAGCAAGCCAGAUCCGCACACUAGCCGGCUUUUCCAGGAGGCAGAAGGGCCCUCAGCUGCCACCUCCUUCUGGCCUAUGUUGUGGAGGUUCCUCCAGCUUCGGCUGGGCGUUAGCUGAACCUGAGAUGUCAAAGUUCCUUGACGAAAUUGACCAAAGAAGCCACGAACCUAAAUGAGUAUGGAUUGAUACUACAAUGAAUUUCAAAAAUCUACAUUUACGGAUGCAUUUGAGACUAAAAGACUAUUUUGGGGUACAGGGAAAAUAUUAGUAUAUGUAACAUACAGUUGGUUGCUAUAUCUGCAACGCAUAACUAAAGUCCAUGUAUCAGUAAAAGAUAAACUGAUGACCCAGAAUACAGUAUAAAUAUACAAAUAAUAGAAGAUAUUCACAUGGCAAAUACACAUGACUUCCAGAUGAAUGAGAUAAAUUUAUCUGCCAGAUGGCGAACAAUAUUUUUAAGAAGUCAUUCAAUAAGAAAAAUAUACAUUUAUUGGGCAAUUACUAUGUUCCAGUAACUGUUGAGAGUUUUUGUGUUUUUGUUUACCUAAAAUGUAUACUCUAAGAGAACAAGGACCAUAAUUUGACUGUUUACCCUUGGAUCAUCACACUGUAACACAGCUGCUGGUUAUAAAGAGAAAGCAAUCACCUCAGUGGGUUCAGCUUCAAAAAUUGGGCUAUCCAACUACUUCUGGGGCCACAGGAGAAUGAUUAAUGAUUAACGACUGGCUACUUCCAAGGCUCACGGUGGGUGUCUGCAGAUGAGGGGCAGCUCAUCCUCAUAAGAUCCCAAGUGGAAAAGAUCUUAAGAUGGCUUUGUGCAGCAAGAUCUUGGGAGUCCACAAAGUGGACUGGAUUCUUUCUCCAGGGCAAUGUAAAGGGGUGGUAACUUACCAGCUCUCCAAAUUGGCUCAAGGAUACCAAGGGGCACAGGGUUCUUUAACAAUAAAUGCCUUAAUUAUCUUUUGCAUGAGCAGGGACUAGCAAGAACUUCUUCUCUUUUCCUCACUAUCAGUGUCCCUCUUGGUUCAGGGUUGAUAUUAAAAGGUAGCAUGAGAGUCCUGUAGAUUUAAUUCUCUUGUUUGGAAGGCCAUCAUGUAUCU